AAUAAGGUCUUAAGUUGUUAUUGAAUAAGUCAAUGCAGUGGCACCAUAUAAACCACAUGGGAGACCGUAUAGAUACCAUCUAUUAGAAGGUCAAGGACUCACACCCAUCGUGACCCUAAUUGGUCGAAUUUGGAGGAUCAAAUUUCUUUUUAAGGAUGGAGGAUGUAACAGCCCAAAUUUUUUUGAUCUAAUUUCUUGUGCAAUUAG
rnacentral:lncRNA from 1 species